rnacentral:rRNA from 1 species
GUGAGGUGUUCGGUUAAGUCCGGCAACGAGCGCAACCCUUAUCUUCAGUUACCAUCAUUAAGUUGGGGACUCUGAAGAGACUGCCCGGGUUAACCGGGAGGAAGGUGGGGAUGACGUCAAGUCCUCAUGGCCCUUAUGUCCAGGGCUACACACGUGCUACAAUGGCGGGAACAGAGGGAAGCAAGACCGCGAGGUGNNNNAAAUCCCACAAAUCCUGUCCCAGUUCGGAUAGGAGUCUGCAACUCGACUCCUUGAAGUUGGAAUCGCUAGUAAUCGCGGAUCAGAAUGCCGCGGUGAAUACGCUCCCAGGCCUUGUACACACCGCCCGUCACACCAUGAGAGCUGGUUGUACCCGACGUCGUUGAGCUAACCCGUAAGGGAGGCAGGCGCCUAAGGUAUGGCUGGUGAUUGGGGUGAAGUCGUAACAAGGUAAUCGAAUU